AGCAGCCGCGGUAAUUCCAGCUCCAAUAGCGUAUAUUAAAGUUGUUGCAGUUAAAAAGCUCGUAGUUGAAUUUCGGGGUCAGCAGGUUGGUCGUGCCUCUGGUACGCACUGGUUUCGCUGAUUCCUCCUUUCUGAAGAACUGUAAUGUCAUUAAUUUGGUGUUGCAGGGAAACAGGACUGUUACUUUGAAAAAAUUAGAGUGUUUUAAAGCAGGCUAACGCUUGAAUACAUUAGCAUGGAAUAAUGAAAUAGGACGUUUGAUCCUAUUUUGUUGGUUUCUAGGAUUGACGUAAUGAUUAAUAGGGAUAGUUGGGGGCAUUAGUAUUCAAUUGUCAGAGGUGAAAUUCUUGGAUUUAUUGAAGACUAACUACUGCGAAAGCAUUUGCCAAGGAUGUUUUCAUUAAUCAAGAACGAAAGUUAGGGGAUCGAAGACGAUCAGAUACCGUCGUAGUCUUAACCAUAAACUAUGCCGACUAGGGAUAAGGGUGAUGUUAAUUUUUUAAUGACUCA
rnacentral:rRNA from 1 species